UACGAAGGGGGCUAGCGUUGCUCGGAAUUACUGGGCGUAAAGGGCGCGUAGGCGGACAGUUUAGUCAGAGGUGAAAGCCCAGGGCUCAACCUUGGAAUUGCCUUUGAUACUGGCUGUCUUGAGUUCGGGAGAGGUGAGUGGAAUGCCGAGUGUAGAGGUGAAAUUCGUAGAUAUUGGGAAGAACACCGGUGGCGAAGGCGGCGACCUGGUCCGACACUGACGCUGAGGCGCGAAAGCGUGGGGAGCAAACAGG
rnacentral:rRNA from 1 species